UUCGUUUCAAGUUAACAGAACUUGAAACUAUCGUUCCAAUAAUUGUUAUGUCCAAUGGAGUCUGCGCAUAUAGAGUGGAGAGAAGAGGAGCUCGCCCCCUUGUGAAAUCAACUAUAGAGCACGGCUCACUCCUUUGCCUAGUUUGUCGGCUUCUUCACCUUAGAAUCAGAGAAGAGAAUAAUAUCAUCAAUGUAUAUAAGAACAUGGUCUUGGAUGGGAGCAAAGAUCUUCGUCAUGGCUCUCUGAAAGAUAGAUGGAGUUGUCUUUAGACCAAAAGGCAUUACUGUCCAGUGUAGAUGGUAGCCUGGAAUGCGAAAGGCUGUCUUUGGUCUGUCUUCGGGGACAAUCCCAAGUUGCCAAAAACCUGCCUUGAGGUCAAACUUGGAGAAGACAGUGGCAUGGGCUAACUGGAGGAGCAAAGCCGGGCGAGUCGGGAGUGGGAAUUUCUCAUCAGCCAAGAAGAAAUUUGUUCUCUCUCUCUCUUGGGUUGUUCUUUCUCCCUCUCAUCUAUUUAUUAUCUCCAUGUAUAAUUUCUUUGUCAGUUCCCCUAAAUCAUAUCAUCUUCUUUUUAUGUAUUUGUGGUUUUACUCUUUUUCAUGAACUUCUCCUUUCUAUUUGUAGUUUGCAAGAUUCAAUAAAGUCAUGCCUACUUGGUAUUAAUUGUUCCUUUAAUUAUUUAACUUCAA